rnacentral:misc_RNA from 1 species
GAUGAAGAACGUAGCGAAACGCGAUAUGUAAUGUGAAUUGCAGAAUUCAGUGAAUCAUCGAGUCUUUGAACGCACAUUGCGCCCCCUGGUAUUCCGGGGGGCAUGCCUGUCCGAGCGUCAUUGCUGCCCUCAAGCACGGCUUGUGUGUUGGGCCUCCGCCCCCCGGCUCCCGGGGGGCGGGCCCGAAAGGCAGCGGCGGCACCGCGUCCGGUCCUCGAGCGUAUGGGGCUUCGUCACCCGCUCCGUAGGCCCGGCCGGCGCCCGCCGGCGACCCCCCUCAAUCUUUCCAGGUUGACCUCGGAUCAGGUAGGGAUACCCGCUGAACUUAAGCAUAUCAAUAAGCGGAGGA